rnacentral:misc_RNA from 1 species
AAAGUUGUAUCCAUGGCUGAAAAUGGUGAAGAAAAACUCAUAGCUGUAGCUCGUCAUAUCGCCAAAACACUUGGUCAUACUGAUACUAUGACUGAUGACAUCCUUCAAAUCUUUUCUAGUUUUGACAAUCGAUUCCGUGAAAAACUUACUGAUGAUCAACCACUUGAACGGAGCCUUAAAUCUCUUCAUCGGCAGAUCUCUCGUCAUCUCUCUGCUCAGCAUCCUAUAUGGUCUGAUUCUGCUGAUUCUGCUGCCUUCCUUGAUUCUGUUGACCAAUUAUUGGCUAUAAUUCAUGAAUGGAAUCCUAUGGCUAAUGAUAAAUCUGUUUCUGCUUCUCUUGAUAAAGCUGAGGAUUUACUUCAACAAGCUAUGUUUCGUUUACAAGAUGAGUUUACUACCCUCAUGCAACGCGCCUCCGAGUCCGUGG